GUGGGGAAUUUUGGACAAUGGGCGCAAGCCUGAUCCAGCAAUGCCGCGUGCAGGAAGAAGGCCUUCGGGUUGUAAACUGCUUUUGUACGGAACGAAACGGUCCUGGUUAAUACCUGGGGCUAAUGACGGUACCGUAAGAAUAAGCACCGACCAACUAAGUGCCAGCAGCCGCGGUAAUACGUAGGGUGCAAGCGUUAAUCGGAAUUACUGGGCGUAAAGCGUGCGCAGGCGGUUUGGUAAGACAGGCGUGAAAUCCCCGGGCUCAACCUGUGAAUUGCGCUUGUGACUGCAAGGCUGGAGUGCGGCAGAGGGGGAUGGAAUUCCGCGUGUAGCAGUGAAAUGCGUAGAUAUGCGGAGGAACACCGAUGGCGAAGGCAAUCCCCUGGGCCUGCACUGACGCUCAUGCACGAAAGCGUGGGGAGCAAACAGGAUUAGAUACCCGAGUAGUCC
rnacentral:rRNA from 1 species